GCUGUGGGCACAGGACAGGACAGGAUAUGCUCGUGGGUGCAGAGACUCUCUCUCCUGAGGAUGGAUGCGUCUCUCAGAAUGGGUCUGGUGCCAACUGGGGACCACAAACUCUUUUUUGUGGGAACUGCAGUAUCCUAGGAGUAGAACUAAAUUGCCUUGACUCUGCUAUGAUGAAUCUAAGGAGGAGCUCAUACACUCAGCACAGAAAGGGCAAUCUUUGGAACCAGUGGAGGUCUUGUAGUCAAGUUAUGAAAUGAAGAAACCGCAGCUGGAUCUGGAUCUACAUCAUGGGGCUUUAAUCAGAAGGCAGGUUGGUGAAGUGGUCACUUCCUGUACAAUAAGCUGAUUGACCGUCUGAUUAGAAAUUUUUUGGCUUUGAUUUUGGAGGAUCAGAGUAAGCAGGGGCAACUGUGGCCAGAAUGAGGGUCAAGAACAG